GGUUUCCUUUUCCGGUCUGACCGCUGAGGAAACUGUAAAAGCUAUGCUGGGGAGGCAGCGCGGAGCUUGAUUCACCUUCACCUGCUCUGGCCACCCGCUGACCCGGGGUUUCCGGCCGGAGAGCAGUCAGAUAUGAACGGACGGGUGGAUUAUUUAGUCACGGAGGAAGAGAUCAACCUGACGAGAGGACCUUCGGGUAAAUGGCCAAGAUCUGAAGAACCUGCUGCACCAAGAUGCUGUAGACCUCUUCCGUAAUGCGGGAUGUGCUGUGUCCCUGAGAGUACAGCACAGGGUAGGUAUUACCUGCACCUGGAUAUGGGACAGUAGGCUUUUACACUGUUCUUGUGAAUAGGUUUGUAAGCUUCAAAGUCUGCUUUACUUUAUCUUCUGUUAUGAUUGCCUUUGUCAGCAUAGGCAGGAGUCCUUUAGGAUUUCUGCCUAUCAGUAAAAGAAGUAUGUAACCCAAGUUCUACCUUCAGUGGAUUAAAGUUUCAUUAAGUGAAAAUGGAAAGAAAGUAGAAUUACUUGGUAAGAGGCCAAAUGAGGAUACAGAGGCUGAAGAAGAUUGAAAGGAGCUAGUGUAAACAAACAAACAAACAAACAAACAAAAAACCAAACCCCAAAACAAAAACAAAAACAAAACAAAAUUGGAGAAAGCAGAAGUCAGUUUGAACUAUGUGGUGAGACUCUGAAAGAAAACUCAAACUAUUAAAAA
rnacentral:lncRNA from 1 species